AGUGAACGCUGGCGGUAGGCCUAACACAUGCAAGUCGAACGGCAGCACAGUAAGAGCUUGCUCUUACGGGUGGCGAGUGGCGGACGGGUGAGGAAUACAUCGGAAUCUACUUUUUCGUGGGGGAUAACGUAGGGAAACUUACGCUAAUACCGCAUACGACCUACGGGUGAAAGCAGGGGAUCUUCGGACCUUGCGCGAUUGAAUGAGCCGAUGUCGGAUUAGCUAGUUGGCGGGGUAAAGGCCCACCAAGGCGACGAUCCGUAGCUGGUCUGAGAGGAUGAUCAGCCACACUGGAACUGGGACACGGUCCAGACUCCUACGGGAGGAAGAGGUGGGGAAUAUUGGACAAUGGGCGCAAGCCUGAUCCAGCCAUACCGGGUGGGUGAAGAAGGCCUUCGGGUUGUAAAGCCCUUUUGUUGGGAAAGAAAAGCAGCAGGUUAAUACCCCGCUGUUCUGACGGUACCCAAAGAAUAAGCACCGGCUAACUUCGG
rnacentral:rRNA from 1 species